AGCCUGACACUGAGUGUGAUCGGCAAGGUUUUGGUAUGCUAUGGCAGCAAGAGCUUCCACACACCACACCAGAGCCUGACACUGAGUGUGAUCAGCAAGGUUUUGGGUUGCCAUGGCAGCAAGACCUUCCACACACCACACCAGAGCCUGACACUGAGUGUGAUCAGCAAGGUUUUGGGUUGCCAUGGCAGCAAGACCUUCCACACACCACACCAG